rnacentral:rRNA from 1 species
UACGUAGGGGGCUAGCGUUGUCCGGAUUUAUUGGGCGUAAAGAGCGUGUAGGCGGCCAGGUAGGUCUGGUGUGAAAACUCGAGGCUUAACCUCGAGAUGUCAUCGGAAACCAUCUGGCUAGAGUCCGGAAGAGGAGAAUGGAAUUCCCGGUGUAGCGGUGAAAUGCGCAGAUAUCGGGAGGAACACCGGUGGCGAAGGCGGUUCUCUGGGCCUUACCUGACGCUGAGGAGCGAAAGCGUGGGGAGCGAACAGG